rnacentral:rRNA from 1 species
UACGGAGGGUGCGAGCGUUGUCCGAAGAUCACUGGGCGUAAAGGGCGCGUAGGCGGCUCAUGAAGGCUGUGGUGAAAGUCCGGGGCUCAACCUCGGAUCGGCCGUGGCGACUCGUGGGCUGGAGCACUGUAGAGGCGGGUGGAAUUCCGGGUGUAGCGGUGGAAUGCGUAGAGAUCCGGAAGAACACCAGUGGCGAAGGCGGCCCGCUGGGCAGUGGCUGACGCUGAGGCGCGACAGCGUGGGGAGCAA